GGGGAGAUACCAAAGCGGCCAACUGGGCCAGACUGUAAAUCUGGUGGCUUAUGCCUUCGGCGGUUCGAAUCCGCCUCUCCCCACCA
rnacentral:tRNA from 2 species